rnacentral:rRNA from 1 species
GACGAACGCUGGCGGCGUGCUUAACACAUGCAAGUCGAACGGAAAGGCCCUGCUUUUGUGGGGUGCUCGAGUGGCGAACGGAUGAGUAACACGUGAGUAACCUGCCCUUGACUUUGGGAUAACUUAAGGAAACUGGUGCUAAUACCGGAUAGGAGCUCCUGCUGCAUGGUGGGGGUUGGAAAGUUUCGGCGGGUGGGGAUGGACUCGCGGCUGCUCCGGUUGGUGGUGGGGUAGAGGCUUACCAAGGCUUUGACGGGUAGCCGGCCUGAGAGGGUGACCGGCCACAUUGGGACUGAGAUACGGCCCAGACUCCUACGGGAGGCAGCAGUGGGGAAUAUUGCACAAUGGGCGGAAGCCUGAUGCAGCAACGCCGCGUGCGGGAUGACGGCCUUCGGGUUGUAAACCGCUUUCGCCUGUGACGAAGCGUGAGUGACGGUAAUGGGUAAAGAAGCACCGGCUAACUACGUG